AUUGAACGCUGGCGGCAGGCCUAACACAUGCAAGUCGAGCGGAUGAAGGGAGCUUGCUCCUGGAUUCAGCGGCGGACGGGUGAGUAAUGUCUAGGAAUCUGCCUGGUAGCGGGGGAUAACGUCCGGAAACGGGCGCUAAUACCGCAUACGUCCUGAGGGAGAAAGUGGGGGAUCUUCGGACCUCACGCUAUCAGAUGAGCCUAGGUCGGAUUAGCUAGUUGGUGGGGUAAAGGCCUACCAAGGCGACGAUCCGUAACUGGUCUGAGAGGAUGAUCAGUCACACUGGAACUGAGACACGGUCCAGACUCCUACGGGAGGCAGCAGUGGGGAAUAUUGGACAAUGGGCGAAAGCCUGAUCCAGCCAUGCCGCGUGUGUGAAGAAGGUCUUCGGAUUGUAAAGCACUUUAAGUUGGGAGGAAGGGCAGUAAGUUAAUACCUUGCUGUUUUGACGUUACCAACAGAAUAAGCACCGGCUAACUUCGUG
rnacentral:rRNA from 1 species